AUACGGAGGGUGCGAGCGUUGUUCGGAAUUACUGGGUGUAAAGGGCGCGCAGGCGGCUUGAUAAGUCAGAUGUGAAAGCCCACGGCUCAACCGUGGAAGUGCAUCUGAAACUGUCUGGCUUGAGUACUGGAGAGGAAAGUGGAAUUCCUGGUGUAGAGGUGAAAUUCGUAGAUAUCAGGAGGAACACCGGUGGCGAAGGCGACUUUCUGGACAGAUACUGACGCUGAGGCGCGAAAGCGUGGGGAGCAAACAGGAUUAGAUACCCUAGUAGUCC
rnacentral:rRNA from 1 species